ACUUAUUAACUAAUAUAUAGAUUUUUUGUCACGAAUAAGGGUGAGCUAAUUACAUAUACUUUUAGGUGAUAUUACGUAGCAUAGUAAAUGAAUAAAUAUGUAUUUUGGAGUGAUAUGCUUACCACACCUUUUGAUAGCUUGUAAUGUGAGAAAAAUAUUUAGUAUUAUGGCACACUGAUAAAGCUAAGCUUGUUAGUUUAUACUAAUGUUGAUAAUACGUGGUAGUAUAGUGUAACAACUAACUUUACACUAAUGUAUUAACAUACAAUCCGAUUUAUUGUUUUUCAUAUCACACAUCUGUAUUCUUAAUUUAGCUUGUAUUUGAUAAUGUAAGUAUUAGUAAUUUUUAUAAGUAUACUUAAGGAACUCGGCAACAUGUCUCUCAACUGUUUAUCAAAAACAUAACUGUAUGAAAUAAUAUAUAGCUAUUUCUGCUCAAUGGUGCGCUAAAUAGCCGCAGUACUUUGACUGUGCAAAGGUAGCAUAAUCAGUUGGCUUUUAAUUAAAGUCUGGCAUGAACGAAAUGAUGGGUGACAACUGUCUCUUAGUAUAUUCAAAGGAUCUUAGUAAGUAAGUGCAAACACUUACAAAAAUACAACAGACGAGAAGACCCUAGAAACUUUAAUAUUGUUUUGUUGGGGCGACAGAAUUACAUUCAACUAAUUUUUAAUUACCUGAAGCUAAGACGUUAGAGUAAGUUACUCUAGGGAUAACAGCAUAAUUUUAAUAGUUUGUGACCUCGAUGUUGGAUUAGGUAUUGCACCCUUUAGACAGGGGUUCAAGUGGCUCUGUUCGAGCAUAUUUACCUACAU
rnacentral:rRNA from 1 species